rnacentral:tRNA from 1 species
AAAGGGAGACCUAAUUCAGGUAAAAGACGAAAAAAAAGUAGUCGCUACCAAGAAUCAAUCCCAAAGGGUCGGAGCGAGGCGAAAUUGGCUUUCAAACUAGGUUCUGGGUUCAAACAAGACCUGAAUCAGGAACAAGGGCUAUUAGCUCAGGUGGUUAGAGCGCACCCCUGAUAAGGGUGAGGUCCCUGGUUCGAGUCCAGGAUGGCCCACCUGCACAGGUGGCAAAAACAAGAGAAGCGAGGAAUCAGCACCUUAUCUUACUUAUAUAGUAAGAGAGAAUGCUGGCUCUGAGUAAAGAGUCCAGAGGAACCUUGAAAACUGCAUAGAGCUAGGUGAAAAAGCCAAAAAAGAAGACCGCAAG